UACAGAGGGGGCAAGCGUUGUUCGGAAUUACUGGGCGUAAAGGGCGCGUAGGCGGCCCGCUAAGUCGAACGUGAAAUCCCCGGGCUCAACCCGGGAACUGCGUCCGAUACUGGUGGGCUUGAAUCCGGGAGAGGGAUGCAGAAUUCCAGGUGUAGCGGUGAAAUGCGUAGAUAUCUGGAGGAAUACCGGUGGCGAAGGCGGCAUCCUGGACCGGCAUUGACGCUGAGGAGCGAAAAGCGUGGGGAGCAAACAGG
rnacentral:rRNA from 1 species